rnacentral:rRNA from 1 species
CCUGAACGCUGGCGGCGUGGUUAAGACAUGCAAGUCGAACGGAUGUAGCAAUACAUCAGUGGCGGACGGGUGAGUAAUGUAUCGCUAAUGUACCCCGGAGACAGGGAUAGCUGCCCGAAAGGGCAGGUAAUCCCAGAUGAUAUAACCUUAUCGCAUGAUGAGGUUCUCAAAUGUAGCAAUAUGCUCUGGGAGCAGGCGAUAUCGUACAGCUUGUUGGUGAGGUAACGGCUCACCAAGGCGACGACGCGUAGCUGGUCUGAGAGGACGACCAGCCACAUUGGGACUGAGACACUGCCCAGACUCCGUACGGGGGCUGCAGUAACGAAUCUUCCGCAAUGCAACGAAAGUGUGACGGAGCGACGCCGCGUGUAGGACGAAG